AUUGAACGCUGGCGGCAGGCCUAACACAUGCAAGUCGAGCGGAGUGGCGGACGGGUGAGUAAUGUCAAGGAAUCUGCCAGGUAGUGGGGGAUAACGUCCGCAAACGGGCGCUAAUACCGCAUACUAUUAGAUGAGCCUAGGCCGGAUUAGCUAGUUGGUGGGGUAAAGGUCUACCAAGGCGACGAUCCGUAACUGGUCUGAGAGGAUGAUCAGUCACACUGGAACUGAGAAACGGUCCAGACUCCUACGGGAGGAAGCAGUGGGGAAUAUUGGACAAUGGGCGAAAGCCUGAUCCAGCCAUGCCGCGUGUGUGAAGAAGGUCUUCGGGUUGUAAAGGACUUUAAGUUGGGAGGCGUUACCAGCAGAAUAAGCACCGGCUAACUUCGUGCCAGCAGCCGCGGUAAUAC
rnacentral:rRNA from 1 species